GACAGAGGGUGCAAACGUUGUUCGGAAUUACUGGGCGUAAAGCGUGUGUAGGUGGCUGCGUAAGUCGGAUGUGAAAGCCCUGGGCUCAACUCAGGAAGUGCACUCGAUACUGCGUAGCUCGAGUACCGGAGAGGUUGGUGGAAUUCUCGGUGUAGAGGUGAAAUUCGUAGAUAUCGAGAGGAACACCUGUGGCGAAGGCGGCCAACUGGACGAGUACUGACGCUGAGGUGCGAAAGCGUGGGGAGCAAACAGG
rnacentral:rRNA from 1 species